rnacentral:rRNA from 1 species
AUGGGAGUUCAGUCACCGAGGAAGAGCGACGAUGGUGAUGGCGGAAAGUACACGCCGCCGAGCAAGAGGCUCGGAGCCAGCGGCUCCGAUGGGACGAUCGUCGUGGCUGCGCCGGUGAGGAGCGUCGGAGUGCCGAUCCAAUACCCGCAGCUAACAGAAGGUAAUUAUCAGUUGUGGGCAGCGAAGAUGAAGAUCAUCCUCAAGCCAAUGGGCGUGUGGUCGUCGAUCACCGGAGAAGACGUCGACGAGGCCAAGGAUCAGGGAGCCAUGGCUGCUAUCUCGCAGUCCGUUCCCGACGACGUGAUGAUGUCCAUCGUGGAGUACGAGUCUGCGAAGGAGGCUUGGGAUGCUAUCCGUACCAUGCGCAUAGGCGAUGAGCGUGUGGUGCAGGCGCGUAUCAGCCACUUGACAAGGCGCUUCGAGCGGCUAACCAUGGAAGAUGGCGAAGAAGUCGGGGCGUUCGGGCGCCGACUCACCGCGCUCGUCGGAGAAAUUCGAGCACUUGGCGAGAACUUGCAGGAGCACGCUGUUGUCAAGCGGCUGUUCGCGGCGGUCCCGGAUCGCUUCCUGCCGAUAAUCGGGACAAUCGAGCAAUGGGGCGACGUCAAGAAGAUGUCGGUCGCCGAGGCCAUUGGGCGGCUGCGGGCGUUCGAGGAGAACGAGUCCGGGCGGCGCCAAGACCGCAGCGACGACGGCGAGAAGCUGAUGCUGGUCUCGCGUGCAGAGCUGGAGGCUCUAAUCCAGAAAGAAAAGAAGAAGGGAGAAGGGUCCAGCAGCAGCGGCAAGGACGGUGAUGGGUGCGGUGGUGGCCGCGGCCGGGACGACGACAGGAAGAAGGUUCGCGGCAAGUUCGACAAGUCCAAGAUUACCUGCUUCGAGUGCGGGGAGAAAGGACACUUCAAGUCUGAGUGUGAGGCGUGGAAGAAAGAGAAGGCGCUCCUAGUUGCUGCCGACGUCGACGACGAGCCGGCGCUGCUCAUGGCUAUGGCAUGUGAGCUUGCGCCUGAGGUGGACGGCACCGCAGGUGUCCUUGAGCCUACAGAGAUGGAGGCAGAGGGCGGCCAUGCACUGGGAGGCGAGUUCUUCAAGCCCUCUGAUGCAUCGAUGGAGGUUGAAACUGCUAAGGCUGGGGUCGCACGGCUACGCGGAGAGUUGGCCGCCGCUAAUGCAAAGUUGCAUGCCCUGUCUGACGAGUACAUGACACAGGCUGAGGAGUUGGUACAUGCAAGGGAGGAGAAGGCCAAGUUCUUGGAGAUGCAGCGUGUGAUCUGUGAUGAGAAUGGACGACUCAGGGAUCUGGUGGUACAUGCAGCUGAAGCACCCAUUCAAGUCAAGACGGCGCCGGCCGCAGGGAGUGCGGCAACGACGCUGCCGACGCCGGUCGUGAGGGCUGCUGUUACGACGCCGCCGUCGGCCGCGGUGACACUCGGCGUGAAGAAGCCGGGAGUGAAGAUCAAAGAGAACAAGGGAUGUCGGUCUGAUAUGCUCCUCACGGAUGAGGGAAGUGAACUCGUUGAGAAGAGCAAGAACUUUGUGAUGCUGAAUGAGGAGAACGUCAAGGCUUUGUUGAGCAUGGAUGGAUCAGCUGAUGCAUGGUGGCUUGAUAGUGGUGCUAGUAACCACAUGACUGGCUCACGGUGCAAAUUCAAGGAGAUAGAUGAAAGCAUCCGUGGCCAUGUGAAGCUCGGAGAUGGGUCUAUUGCUCUGAUUAAAGGGAAAGGUUCAGUCAUUGUUGAAUGCAAGAGCGGUGAGCAACUGCAUCUGACGAAGGUAUAUUUUGUACCAAGUUUACCUAGUAACAUAAUUAGUCUUGGUAAGCUGGCAGAGGAUGGCAAUCGUGUAGUGCUAGAUGGUACAUUCUUGUGGGUUAGAGGCAGGUCUGGAAAGAUGCAGAUGAAGGUUAAGAGAUCACCCAACCGACUGUACAUGGUGCGACUCAAGACAGUUGUUGGUGCUGCUCAUGUGUCAUCAAGAAAACGGAGCCCAGAAGCUUUCAGACUCCAGCAGCAGCAGCUCGAGAUGGAGAUGCCAUCAGUGAACGGGGGUGUCACCCACCGUGGCGUCAGGUCAGGAGCAUCAGGCAGCAACAAAGUUAGGGAGUGA